GUCUGAAGUUGUUUAAAAGAUCUGAUGUGAAAAAAAAUGAAAAAACAAUUCAUAAAAUUCAUUGCUAUAUCACCUUUUGGAUGGGGACCAUUUUGGGUCCCGAGGGAUACCAAUGGAAGUAUAUUGCAAAAACUCUUAUUGCUCCAAAAAUAAUAAUGCAUCCAAAUCAAUUCUAUUCUGAAUUCUUUACCUAUCCAAGGCUCUAAUAACCUCAUGCCAAGUAGUUCCAUUUGCAACUCAUUUUUUGAAAAUAUUGCAUAUUAUGGUUUUUUACCCCCCAAAAUAAAAAAUAAACAGGGGUCUUUAUGACAAUAAAGCCAUAAAAACCUAAAAAAUAUGAAAAAAAUUAUGAAAAACUUUAUAUCAGUGGAUAGGUCUGAAGUUGUUUAAAAGAUCUGAUGUGAAAAAAAAUGAAAAAAAAUUCAUAAAAUCCAUUGCUAUAUCACCUUUUGGAUGGGGA
ensembl:lncRNA